rnacentral:rRNA from 1 species
GUGCCAGCAGCCGCGGUAAUACGAAGGUCCCGAGCGUUGUUCGGAAUCACUGGGCGUAAAGGGAGCGUAGGCGGCAUGGCAAGUCAGGUGUGAAAUCCCGGGGCUCAACCCCGGAACUGCACCCGAUACUGCCUUGCUAGAGUAAUGGAGGGGUAGCUGGAAUUCUCGGUGUAGCAGUGAAAUGCGUGGAUAUCGAGAGGAACACUUGUGGCGAAGGCGAGCUACUGGACAUUUACUGACGCUGAGGCUCGAAGGCCAGGGGAGCGAAAGGGAUUAGAUACCCCUGUAGUCC